rnacentral:rRNA from 1 species
UAAGGAAUAUUGGACAAUGGAGGGAACUCUGAUCCAGCCAUGCCGCGUGCAGGAUGAAGGCGCUCAGCGUUGUAAACUGCUUUUGGAUGGGAACAAAAACAGACGUUUACGUUUGACUGAGGGUACCAUCAGAAUAAGCACCGGCUAACUCCGUGCCAGCAGCCGCGGUAAUACGGAGGGUGCAAGCGUUAUCCGGAAUCACUGGGUUUAAAGGGUGCGUAGGCGGUUCGAUAAGUCAGUUGUGAAAUAC